UUAGAAUAAGGUCUUAUGCUUAAAUUCAAUAUGAUUGCAAUUUCACAUAGAUAUAUAGUGAUUUUGGUUAUAUUGAUGAUUACAUAGAGUCUAUCGCUUGUGGAUGCUGUGUAAGUAGGUCAUAGUACAUUGAAAAAUGGCUAUGACUCUUUUAGUGCUCUUGGCUACUUUCCUGUGAUAUGUGAACAAGUCUUGCAUGAUAAUGGUGAUUGGAUGAAAUAUUAAAUGAAAUUAGAGUCCCAUUACUUUCAGAUUUGAUUUAUUACAUCUUUAUUAUUGGUUUAGUCGUUAUUGGCGAUUAGUGUAAUUCACCAAUCAUAUUCAUUAGUUUGAGCAUAUGAAUAUAGCGAUUUAAUUGAUGCAUGGUAAUUUAAAUUAAACAACUUUCCCUGUGGGAUCGAUACUUUACUUGCUCUGUAUUACUUGUUGACACAUGUAUGCUUGCAUGAGUUAGAGCUCUUUUGUUAGAACUAAAAAAGAGGCAACGGUUGGGAGUUUCAAUACAAAUAUUGUCUCGUAGACAAUAUCCAAACUCAAAUAAAGUCUUCAUUACAAAUAUUGUCACACUAUUUUAUAUAAUAGUGAGGACUACUAUAGUAACUAUCUUGGACCAUCACUCUAUUCCCCGACUAGUCCCGGCUAUAUUCUCAUUUCCUGAAGAGAACAACGAAAGAAAAGGGUGAGCUCAACGAGCCAGUAAAGAAUAUUAUGACUAAGAUAAUAUAGAACAAAUUAUCCUUAGUCCUCAACAGGAAAAUAAUCUUAUAGAAUACAAUAGACAACAAGUUUAGAUCAAAAACUGCAGCGAAAAUAGCAAUCCAUUAGAAGAGUCAAGUAGAGCAUGAUGUUUUUUAUCUUCUAUGAUUUAAAAUUUUAUCAUCAAUAUUUUAUCCAUGUAACACCAAUCAAUAAUUAUUUCCAAUCAACGAAUUAUCUAUGCACUAUGGGCCAAAGAUAAUCGUUUGUAUCACCAGUAGUCAUGAUCAUGCCAAACACUUGUCCAUUUAUGUACUGCGGGCCAAAGAGGACUUUUACCACAAUAUAAGCAUGAAGAUGAUGACAAUGAUAUAAAGACUGUAUCAAGUGAGAUCAAGAAUAAAUAUUAGAUAUUUAUAAUUUAAUUUAUCCAGAGUUCAAGAAUGUCCAAAUUGUCAACAUGAUCACCAAUUAUGGAGUAAAAUUCAAGAAUAAGAUUCAUAUAUCAAAGAUAAUUUGGACAGAAAAAGAAAAUAAUUUUGUUAUGAAUAGUACUCUGGCAUGAAUAAUACCCCGGAUAAAUAGUACCCUGACAUGAAUAGUACCCCAGAUGAAUAGAUUAAAAUUUAAUAUGAAAGUUCAUACCAAUAUUCCAGUGAAAUGAUAUUAGAUGAAGUGCAAACUAUUAAGGAUAUUCUACUAAUUUUAGGUAUUUUUACCAUUUAAUAAUUAGGUUAUGGAAACAAACAAUAAUUUCGUACCAUAAAUGGAGAAAUAUGAAAGAAAACGAUACCCCUUGACGAGUACAAAAUAAAUGAUAUCCCAUACGAGUAUGAAAGAAUAUACGAAACUACAAAUGAAUUUUCACCCGUCAUGCUGUAAUCCGCAUAGACAGAUCAUUUAAAUAACUUAAUAAAGAAUGAAUAUGAAGGGUUAUUCACCAGGCAUGCGGUAAUCCGCAUAGACAGAUUAUUCUCACAGAUUAAUAAUCAAGGAAUAGAAUGACAACCCUUAUGAGUAUAAAGAAAAUAACAUCAUUUACCUUAAUAAAAGACUAGAUGUUGCACUAGUGUAGUAGCAGAACUUUGUGUUGGUGGUGUGUACUUACUUCUCGAAUACUCUUCGUUUUUCUCUCUUAUUCUCUCUCUAUAGCUUUAGUAAAUUGGUGAGAAUGAAGGAAGAAAUGAGCUUCUAUUUAUAGAAGAAUUCUAGCUUGGGUCUUGCAAUGUGAAGAGGUAAGUGACUUGAUGCCUUGUAAUGUGAAAAUAAGGCAAGUGGUUUGACGCCUAUAAUGUGAAAAGGCAAGUGGUUUGACUUCUGGUAAAGGCAAGUACUAUUAUGGGUCCCAAGAAUAAGCCAAACUUAUAACAAAUGUCUCAUGACAAACCCUUCUAUUUAUAUCAAAAAUUUAAUAAAUAUUUACCACAAUUCACUUAUCUUCAAUCAACACAUUUUUUAAUCUUUCAACAAUUAUUCAUCAUUAAUAUUAUAACUCAUAAUAUUGACAACCAGAUCGUUCUCAAGAAAGAGGGGGCUUUCCGAUAAGGAUUUUUUCUUAUUGGCGCGCAAUUAAAAAACCUAACCCCUUUCCUCGACAAAACUUUCUAGACAUUGUCAAUAAUCUAAUAAUAAUAUGAGUAAUUGUAUCAUGUCAAUUAUGGAUUUAACAAUAUAAAAUAAUGUGUAAAUGCUACGGUAAUAAUUAUUGAAUCAAUAAUAUUAGAUAUUAUGCAGCAACCACUGUGACAAUUAUUGAAUACUGAGUGACUUCUUACAUAAGAAUAAAUGAUCAGAGAUACUGUGCAAUACCAUGUGCUACUGAGUAAUACCGCAUUUCACUGUGGAACAACACGUAUUAAUGUACUUUUAUAACCGGGUAUUUCAACAGUUUAACGGUAAAAGUUUUGUCGUCAAUUUUUAAAAAACUUAUUUUUUGUCGUUUUCUUCAUCCGAUAGUUAUUCAGUUAUGGGGUCCACCAAUGAUUGUGUCAUUGUACGAAUAUUUCCCGACAAAAAAAUAUUCCCUGACAAAACGAAUAUUUUAUGACAACUUAUUUACUUUAUAAAAUUUGCACAUAUCACUCAUAACUAUAACAUUUAUUAAAUCAAUACAUUACUAUUUAGAAUAAUAUAUAAAGAAAAUCAAUUAUUAUUCAUAAAAAGUUGGGGUCUUACACUAUAUUUUUAUGUGGAACUCUAUUUAAAAUAUAAUUUGCAGAAAGACAGCAUUAUCCCCACAUAUUAGAUGGUAAACCAGAACUAAUUAACAUAACAUUUAUCAUAUCUUUAGUGUUCUAUUUUUUUUACGCGACUCCAUUGGACUGUGGAGAUUAAGAAAGAGAAGUUUCAUGUAUAAUUCUAUUUAGUUCACAAAUUUUUUUUAAGACUUCCUGAAUCAUAUUCACCUUUAAGAUCGGAUCUAAGUCUUUUAAUUUUUCUUUCUAACUGAUUUUCAACUUCUGCUUUAUAUUUAAUAAAUAUUUCUUCCGCUUGAUAUUUAGAGGAAAGUAGAUAAAUUUGAGUAUAUCUAGACAUAUCAUCCACAAAAUAAAUAUAAUAUUUCUUACCACCUCUACUCGUAGUAUUUUUAAAAUCAGCUAGAUCAUUGUGAAUUAAUUCAAGAAGCUCAGUUUUUCUUUCAACACUUUUAAAAGGUUUCUUAGCAUGUUUUAUUUCCACACAAAUUUCACAUUUAUUAAACUCGGUAUUAGCAAGAUUAGGUAUAAGCUCAAGCUGUUUCAAUUUUUUAAUAGAUGCCACAUUCCCAUGUCCUAAUCUAGCAUGCCACAUAUCCACAUAUUCAACAAUAUAAGCAAAAUAAGCAUUCUUAUUAUUUAAAUCAGAUUGUUGGUUGUGCUUCAAAAUUCUUAGUUUUGGCAAAGUCUCACAUUGCCUAUUUUGAGAACCUUUCUUGUGUAUAUUAGUACAUUAUGGUGUGCGCUUAGUAACAUGGUUGAGGAAAAAGUGAUGGGCUCGCGCACAUGAGGAUGACUAAGGAUUUGGGUUGGGCUAAGCUUGGAUCUUGGACUUCCGGUCAGAAAACCUUAGUGCGUGUGUGCGCGCAUUACGCCCGCACAGGGGGGGUGCCGAUCUGGUUGAUUAUGCCUAACAUCCCUAACAUAUUUUUUAUUAUUAUAUUUACUUAAGCCGCAAAUAAAUUAUUAUAUUUACUUAAGCCAUAAACCUAGCCCAACGUUCAAAAAGUGUUCCAAAUGUUCACCACGCCCUGUUCUUUUCUCUCCAAUGUUCUCCAUAACGUCAAUUUUCUCUCUCCAACGUUCACCACUAACGCAUAUAUUUUUCCUUCUAUAAAAACAAGCAUAAUCUUAAAAGUUGAUACAUAUAUCAAUUUACGAUUCUUCUUUUCUAAAAUACUAUUAUGCUGUUGUUCUUGAGUUUGGGCAAUCCACAUAGACAAGUUCAAAGUCUUCUUCUGUGAGUACACACAAUUGGAGGCUUCAUCGUUGAAUCCUGGAGGGUGACUUUCAGGAGCCCGUCUGUACCUAAGAUUAUAACAUGUGGGGGCGGAAUCUUUUUUUAGGAUAGUAGCUUUGCUAGGCCUCGAUUUCUAGAUAAGUUGUUCCAAUUUUAUAGUUUCUUCAUCUUGCUAAUUCGCCUAUUUUUUCUAACAAUCUAAAAAGUGAUUUCGAUUUAUUAACAAGAUGAAACCUGCUUUAGACCUUUCUAAAAUUAAAUGUUUUGAUGGUACGAAUUUUAAGAGAUGGUCAGAAGAUAUGUUGUUUUAUUUGGAAAUCAUGAAUAUGGAAUAUGUGUUAUAUAUGGAUGUUCCUGCUACUCCUGUUAAUGAUGUAUUUGAUAAACUACUGCUGUUGAAAAUUAUUGAAAAAUCUGAUGAUGACAAGUCUGUAAAAGGGGAUUAUGUUAAGGAUAAUCGUACAUGUCGUAGAUAUCUGUUGCACUACUUGCUUAAUUUUCUGUUUGAUAUUAAUUUAUUAUCUGUAUGAAAGUGCGAAGAAGAUUUUGGAUGCCUUAAAAUCUAAAUAUAUUGUUGAAAACUCUGGACUUAACAAAUAUGUGGCUGGAAAAUUUCUAUAUUUUAAGAUGCAAAAUAGAAAAUUUGUUAUAGAGCAAGUUCAUAAAUAUCAAACUAUUGUGGGGGGGAGUUAUUGGGGAAGGUAUGAAAAUGUGUGAGACCUUUCAAGCUGCUGCACUUAUCAAAAAAUUACCACCCUUGUGGAAAGAUUAUAAAAUGAAUUUUAAAAAUGAAACUAAAGAUUUUACUAUGCAGGAAUAGGGGUGUUAGUCGAGUAGAGUAGCUCGAUACUCGACUCGAGAUCGGUUCGAAAAUAUGAUCCAAAGCUCGAAUUCGAAGUUGAUUCGAGUCGAAUAUGAUCCAUACUCGUUUUCUGUUUAAUGAUACACGAGUCGAAUUCGAGUAUACCAGUAUUCGCUUAGAUUAGGGUUCGCAUAUUUCAUUUUUUCUCAAACCAUACUCGAUACCUGCUCGAUGGAUCAUAUUCGAAUACUGGUCGAUCUGAUCCAUACUAAUAAGCUAAAUAUGUGAAAUUUGUAUCAAUCUUUAUAACUUAUAAAGUGUAGCAUUAAAUUGUGUAAGCUUGUACUUGAAUAAAUCAGUGAAUUGAUUGUCAAUUCAUAUUAUAUUCUUUGUAAUUUCUUUACAUAAAUAAAAGUAAAAGACUUUUAUAUAUAAACAUUAGUUCAAUAAUCAAUUUAGUAUGUAGUGGUUCAGUAUUAAGAGAAAUGGUUCAUAUUCGAAACUCGAUUUGAAGGCUCGUGAGUAACUCGUUUUGUAAACGAGUCGAGUACUUACGAGCCGAGUACUUCCGAAUAAUGAUCCGAGUCGAAUCUAACACAAAAUUAGAAAUUUCUUAUCGAAUUCGAGCUCAAUUUUUUCGAGUCGAGUCGAAUCUGAGCAUUAGAGUGUUCGCUGAGAUUCGACUCGUUUUCACCCCUAUGCAGGAACUAGUGGCACACAUACAUAUUGAAGAACGGGAUAAGGUCCAAAAAUGCACCUGACGUUUUCUCCAAUAUCUACCGAGCACCCUAUACUUUUUUUUGUCCAAAAAUACCCUUAACGUUAUAAUUUUUGGGUCAUCCGUGCCCCUGCCGUUAACAGAUCUGCCAACUAGACUAACAUCCGUCCAAAUUGCUUACGUGGCUGCCACAUGGAAAUAUUAAAAUACUAAAUACUAAUUAAAAAAAUAUUAAAAUACUAAUUCAAAAAUUCAAAAAUACUAAAAAAAAUCAAAUUAAAAGAAUACUAAAAUACUAAAAUUCAAAUUAUUUUAUUAAUUAAAAAAAAUACUAAAAUACUAAAAUUAUUUUACUAAAUAUUAGUAUUAUAUACUUUUUUACAUACUAAAAUUAUUUUACUAAAUAUUAAUAUAUACUAUUUUAACAAUUAUUAAACUGAAGAAGAUGAACAGGAGAGCAGCAGCAGCAAUAUCGCCCAAUUCGUUCCCCCUUCUUCUCUCCUCUCGAAUUCGAAGAUGAACAGGAGUAGCAGCAGUCCACUCCGUCCCUAACUCUACCACCAUAUCCCAAAUCGAAAAAAGCAAAGAAAAAAAGAUGGAAGGAAGUCCCCACCGAAAAGCAUGGUGAUUUUAGGUCUUCUUCUUCCUUUGUUCUUCGUUCUUCUAUCAUUAAUGGAUAUUUGAUUGCAAAUCCAGAUCUGAUUUUGAUCCUUCAUUAUUUGGAUGUUAGUUCAAAAAUAAAUAUUAAAAAUAUCCAGAUCUGAUUUUGAAGGUAUAAAUUUAUUUUUCAAAAAUAAAAAUUUUCUCAAUCUAGAUCUGGAUUUCUGGUGUACUCAAAAUUUUUUGAUUUGAGAUUAUUGGUUGUGCUUCGAGCCUUCGAUGGUUCGGGUUGACGUUGGCGGAGUGGGGGUAGAGACAGAGAUGAAGCCAUUGUUGGAAUCUAGCUCUGGCCCUCUUCUUGGUUCAUCUUCAAUGCUUGAAAUUCCAGAGUGUGGAGCUGCUGUUUGGUACUAUUGAUGGAGCAAGAGUUUCUCAAAUAAGAGUUUUUGGCAUUUUUCUUGUGCUUCAUCUCUGUCUCUAAUGGCGUUGUUUAGCAUAUCUCUGAGCUGAAUUAAUUGUUCAUAUCGAUGAAACUCUUGUUUGCAGACUAGGAAUUCAUCAAGAGGAAGAAGAUCAAUUUUUGUAUUAAUUAAUUUAGGGUUAUUUGUAUUAAUUAAUUCAAUUGGAUGAAUUUUUGUUAUUUGUUGUUAAUGAAUUUUUGUGACCUAUUUGUUGUUAAUAAAUUAAAUAUAAAUAUAAAUAUUUAUUUUGCUUAUUAAAUAUAAAUAUUUAUUUUGUUUAUUAAUUAUUUAUUUUGUUUUAAAGAAAAAUAAAAUAAAUAAUUAAUAAAAAAUGUAUUUUUUAAUUAUUUGUCUUCAUGAAUUUUUGUACACGUCAGCAAAUAUUGCCACGUGUCAGUCACAUUAACACCCGUUAAUCUAGUUGACAGAUUUAUUAACGGCAGGGGCACGAUCGACUCAAAAAAUGUAACGUUAAGGGUAAUUUUGGACAAAAAAAGUAUAGAGUAUUCGGUAGACAUCGCGGUAAAAGUCGGGAGUCUUUUUGACCCUUCUCCGAUUGAAGAACAAAACAGAGCAAAAGAGAGAGGAGACAUAGUUUCAAAUUACACUGUCAAAGCUAAUCUCGUAGAACACAGGCUAAAUGAAAUACCCAAAAUUAUUCAAGCCAACAUAUAAUUCCAUGAUUUUUACUCCUCACAUCGAUAAGUUUUAUUAUCUUUUCAGCGUCCCGAUGGAAUGGCUUCCUAUAUGAUUGGAAAAUGUUUUACAUACCACUUGCAAGUGAAUAAUAUCACAAUAAGAGUUUUAUCGAUGUUAAUACAAAUAACGUAAUAUUGUUAAAUUUAUUAUUAUAAUUUUAUUAUCAUGUCAUUAUUAAUAAAAUAAUUUAUUAAUAAAUUUAAGGUAAACAUGAAAUGAUGGAACACAAUAUAUCCUAAAAAUAUGUAAAUUUUAUAUAAAUGAGAUUUUUUGUGAAAUAUAGGGAGUAUGAUACUACGUGAUACUUAUCAAUUAACACCGUAACAUUAAAGUCUACCUUCCCUUAGUUGUGAUAUGCUAAGACUUAAUGAUCCAAAAAAUUAUACUUUAUCAAUCUAAAUCUAUUAAAAAACACAUAAUUUUUUUUCCCAAUCAUAACUUUUGAACUUUCCAAACAAUUGUGAAAAUUCUCAAAAUUUGACCAUAUUAUAUACAAAUUAACAAGUCACGUUAACUCACAUUUAUGGUGAAAAUUUUGGCAUUUUGUAUAGUCAUUUGAAAGUUUAAUGUUUUUGGUGUAAAAAAGUAGUUUAUACAUUUUUUUAAUAACUUGAGUGGAGGGUUUUUUUUUGUUUUUUUUCGAUUUGCAAGCGGCUAAAUUUUUUUAUGCAAACGUCCAUAACCCAAGAGACCUGGAUUAUAGAUGAAAGUUACAUCAAAAAACUGAGUUCACCCAAUUAAUUGACAAAUACAAUAUGAAAUAAAAGAAAAAAAAAACUAUGCUUUUCAAAAACCUGCAACUUAUUUUGAAAAUCAUAUCAGCUUGACCUACUGUGCACUGGAUGUAAUAUUGAAAAAUUAAAUCUCCCUCCUGCAUAUAUAAUCCCACAAAUUGAUAUAAAAUACCAUUACCUGCAUCAAGAAAAAUUAAGAUCUGGAAUUAAAGUGAAGAACAACUGACCUUAUAGUCUACUAGUUACUACCAUUCAAACAAACCCCAUAGCAACAAAGCCACCAACUACAUCUGCCGCUGAAACCUGCAUAUGAUGUUGAAUUAUAAGGGACAACCACAUUCGCUAAGCAUUAAUAACAGUUUGAGUUUCAACUGCCCCAAUUAAGAAUUGCAUGUUGUCCAAAUUGCUUCUUUGCCAAUGCCCUAGUUGAAAUACUUAAUAGCUGUAAAUUGCA
rnacentral:lncRNA from 1 species